rnacentral:rRNA from 1 species
AAAUUGAAGAGUUUGAUCAUGGCUCAGAUUGAACGCUGGCGGCAGGCCUAACACAUGCAAGUCGAACGGUAACAGGAAACAGCUUGCUGUUUCGCUGACGAGUGGCGGACGGGUGAGUAAUGUCUGGGAAACUGCCUGAUGGAGGGGGAUAACUACUGGAAACGGUAGCUAAUACCGCAUAACGUCGCAAGACCAAAGAGGGGGACCCUCGGGCCUCUUGCCAUCGGAUGUGCCCAGAUGGGAUUAGCUUGUUGGUGGGGUAACGGCUCACCAAGGCGACGAUCCCUAGCUGGUCUGAGAGGAUGACCAGCCACACUGGAACUGAGACACGGUCCAGACUCCUACGGGAGGCAGCAGUGGGGAAUAUUGCACAAUGGGCGCAAGCCUGAUGCAGCCAUGCCGCGUGUAUGAAGAAGGCCUUCGGGUUGUAAAGUACUUUCAGCGGGGAGGAAGGGAGUAAAGUUAAUACCUUUGCUCAUUGACGUUACCCGCAGAAGAAGCACCGGCUAACUCCGUGCCAGCAGCCGCGGUAAUACGGAGGGUGCAAGCGUUAAUCGGAAUUACUGGGCGUAAAGCGCACGCAGGCGGUUUGUUAAGUCAGAUGUGAAAUCCCCGGGCUCAACCUGGGAACUGCAUCUGAUACUGGCAAGCUUGAGUCUCGUAGAGGGGGGUAGAAUUCCAGGUGUAGCGGUGAAAUGCGUAGAGAUCUGGAGGAAUACCGGUGGCGAAGGCGGCCCCCUGGACGAAGACUGACGCUCAGGUGCGAAAGCGUGGGGAGCAAACAGGAUUAGAUACCCUGGUAGUCCACGCCGUAAACGAUGUCGACUUGGAGGUUGUGCCCUUGAGGCGUGGCUUCCGGAGCUAACGCGUUAAGUCGACCGCCUGGGGAGUACGUACCGCAAGGUUAAAACUCAAAUGAAUUGACGGGGGCCCGCACAAGCGGUGGAGCAUGUGGUUUAAUUCGAUGCAACGCGAAGAACCUUACCUGGUCUUGACAUCCACGGAAGUUUUCAGAGAUGAGAAUGUGCCUUCGGGAACCGUGAGACAGGUGCUGCAUGGCUGUCGUCAGCUCGUGUUGUGAAAUGUUGGGUUAAGUCCCGCAACGAGCGCAACCCUUAUCCUUUGUUGCCAGCGGUCCGGCCGGGAACUCAAAGGAGACUGCCAGUGAUAAACUGGAGGAAGGUGGGGAUGACGUCAAGUCAUCAUGGCCCUUACGACCAGGGCUACACACGUGCUACAAUGGCGCAUACAAAGAGAAGCGACCUCGCGAGAGCAAGCGGACCUCAUAAAGUGCGUCGUAGUCCGGAUUGGAGUCUGCAACUCGACUCCAUGAAGUCGGAAUCGCUAGUAAUCGUGGAUCAGAAUGCCACGGUGAAUACGUUCCCGGGCCUUGUACACACCGCCCGUCACACCAUGGGAGUGGGUUGCAAAAGAAGUAGGUAGCUUAACCUUCGGGAGGGCGCUUACCACUUUGUGAUUCAUGACUGGGGUGAAGUCGUAACAAGGUAACCGUAGGGGAACCUGCGGUUGGAUCACCUCCUUA